rnacentral:rRNA from 1 species
AGCGAACGCUGGCGGCAGGCCUAACACAUGCAAGUCGAACGAACCUUUCGGGGUUAGUGGCGGACGGGUGAGUAACACGUGGGAACGUGCCUUUAGGUUCGGAAUAACUCAGGGAAACGUGUGCUAAUACCGAAUGUGCCCUUCGGGGGAAAGAUUAAUCGCCUUUAGAGCGGCCCGCGUCUGAUUAGCUAGUUGGUUGAGGUAAUGGCUCACCAAGGCGACGAUCAGUAGCUGGUCUGAGAGGAUGAUCAGCCACAUUGGGACUGAGACACGGCCCAAACUCCUACGGGAGGCAGCAGUGGGGAAUCUUGCGCAAUGGGCGAAAGCCUGACGCAGCCAUGCCGCGUGAAUGAUGAAGGUCUUAGGAUUGUAAAAUUCUUUCACCGGGGACGAUAAUGACGGUACCCGGAGAAGAAGCCCCGGCUAACUUCGUG